rnacentral:tmRNA from 1 species
GGGGCUGAUUCUGGAUUCGACGGGAUUUGCGAAACCCAAGGUGCAUGCCGAGGGGCGGUUUGCCUCGUUAAAAGCCGCAAAAAAAAUAGUCGCAAACGACGAAAACUACGCUUUAGCAGCUUAAUAACCUGCUAAGAGCCCUCUCUCCCUAGCUUCCGCUCUUAAGACGGGG